GAGAAUCGAAUGAAUGGUGACUGGAAUUGGGGAUCUAGGGUUUGGGAAAAUGGGGAGGCGGCGCCACCGCUUGAGAUACAUACAAGCGGCGGUUGGUUUGUGCCGGAGAUACUGGCGGUGGUUGGUUUGUGCCGGAGAAGCCCAGGCGGCGGUUGGUUUCCUUUUAGUGUGGUGGAGCCGUGGAGGAGUUCUUCAAUUUUUUUAUUNUUUUUGUUUUUAUGAAAUUGUUCAAAUUAUCAAAAGAGAAGACAACUUAAUUUCUAUUCAAAACGACAUCGUUUUGCCAACGUGUCGUGCCUGCUUGUAAUAAAAGCCAUGUGUCAUGCCAUGUAAUAUUAAAUAUUGACCACGUCAUCGCCGGUCAAAAUUAAUUUUAAUCGGAACUUCGUCGUGUGCAAUUUGCAAUUAAAUCAAUAGUUCGUGUAUCGUGAGGCUAUUUUUGAAGGUCAUGUGCGCAAAUUUGGUGAAACUUCGUGUAUUUUCCGGCCAUUAACCCAACAAAAUAUCAUACAUUCAGUAAAUGUAUUAUUUGUUGUAUAGAAAAGUAAAAUUUACAUUUAUACAAUAAACAUUAAUAAAACUUCAAUUAAGAUAACAUAUAAUAGGUUCAUAGAAAAUAUAGCUUAUUGUAAACAAAAGUAAUUUUUAUAGUGAAAAAAUGUAUACAUUUAAAUAACCAUUAAUUAAUGUGAAUAAAGGUAAUAUUAAAAAAAUGAAGAAAAUAGAAAAAAAGUUAGAAAGUGUUGAAAAUAAAAAAAUUAAACAGAAAAACAGAAUAAAAUAAAGGAGCUAACAAAAAGAAAAAAAAAAG
rnacentral:lncRNA from 1 species